rnacentral:lncRNA from 1 species
AGCAACCUUAGAUGAAGAUCAAAAGGUCAUUCAGAAACUCCAAGAGCUCUAUGUUGAAUGGAAUGGCAAGUUCCACAACUUGGCUAGGUUUGUUAACCUCAACAUGUUGGAACUCCCAGAAAAACUCCAGGAAGCAGAUUGGUGCAUGUGUCCAGAAAACACGCCUCCUCAAGUUUUCAAUUUCGUCAAGUUUAUCAAGAAAAUGAUGAAUGAGCUCACCAC